AGAGGCUCGCGUCCACGGCGUCACGGGCGGGACCGUGAAUGGGAGAGAGCGAGCUGUGGGCGACAGGUGCACACAUGAGGCGGCUAGGGAACCGCCCUGCGCGCGGGCGCAGGAGCAUGCUUUGGCUCAUCAGCAUCGAGGUGAGCGGCUGCCUUGAUUCGGUGUGGGCCGGCGUCGGGAGGAGUGCUCGGAGCUGGUGGGUUUGGGAUGAAAUUAUGGGGGAAUCGCUGGAGUUUGAGACAGCUCUGUUCGGAUUUGAUUUGGGCUGAUGCGCGUCUCGUGCUCUGAGGUUGAUUUCGGAGAUUCAAUUUGCUGCUGCGUAGGAUUUUACUAUUUCUCUCUGCACUGCUGGGGAGAAAUUUUUAUAUUUGACACUGAAUACACAGAGCCCACAUGAAAAGACAACAUUGCCCCCAUCUCUCCUCUUUCAUGCGCCUCUCUCCCUCUUCGCUCUCUCGCUCGCGGCGGCGCACUGUGCCGGCGAGCGCUGCGCGGGGGCGUCGGGAUGGCAAUCCGAUCUCCCGUCCGUCGUGGAAGCGGUGGAUGGACCUCCGGUUGGUCGCCGUCCGAUCACGCCCACGACGCGCUGCUCCGGUUGCUGCCGUGGCUGAGGACUUCAUCUGGUGCCGCUCCAACGAGUCCCCGCGCUGGGAAGGGUGGUGGUCGGCGGCGAGGCAGCUCGUGCAGGACAACAGGUGCAGUCUAGCCGUCUCGGCGAGGCUAAGGACGUGGUGUUGUGUGAUUUCUUUGAGACUUGGAUGAUUCUGAAACGCGCGUAACUGCAGGCUGCCUCUGAUGGCUUCCUGCUUGUGCUGUGAGCUCCCAAGUUAGUAGGUUACCCAAACAUUGCUUAGCUUGUUGGUGCUGGAGAAUAUGAACAUCCGAUUCAUUGAUCAGCCAUGGUGAAAAUGGAGUGAUCAACAUUUCUCGAUAUAAGCUGUUUGAGAUGAGAUGUUUCUGUAAGCUGACAGUAAUAUGAUAAGAACCCAUUUGGGGUUCCAAUAAAAUGCCUAAUGUUUGUGUAA